rnacentral:rRNA from 1 species
AUUGAACGCUGGCGGCAGGCCUAACACAUGCAAGUCGAGCGGAUGAAGGGAGCUUGCUCCUGGAUUCAGCGGCGGACGGGUGAGUAAUGCCUAGGAAUCUGCCUGGUAGUGGGGGAUAACGUCCGGAAACGGGCGCUAAUACCGCAUACGUCCUGAGGGAGAAAGUGGGGGAUCUUCGGACCUCACGCUAUCAGAUGAGCCUAGGUCGGAUUAGCUAGUUGGUGGGGUAAAGGCCUACCAAGGCGACGAUCCGUAACUGGUCUGAGAGGAUGAUCAGUCACACUGGAACUGAGACACGGUCCAGACUCCUACGGGAGGCAGCAGUUGGGAAUAUUGGACCAUGGGCGAAAGCCUGAUCCAGCCCAGCCGCGUGUGUGAAGAAGGUCUUCGGGUUGUAAAGCACUUUAAGUUGGGAGGAAGGGCAGUAAGUUAAUACCUUGCUGUUUUGACGUUACCAACAGAAUAAGCACCGGCUAACUUCGUG